UACGGGGGGGGCAAGCGUUGUUCGGAAUUACUGGGCGUAAAGGGCUCGUAGGUGGCCAACUAAGUCAUACGUGAAAUCCCUCGGCUUAACCGGGGAACUGCGUCUGAUACUGGAUGGCUUGAAUCCGGGAGAGGGAUGCGGAAUUCCAGGUGUAGCGGUGAAAUGCGUAGAUAUCUGGAGGAACACCGGUGGCGAAGGCGGCAUCCUGGACCGGUAUUGACGCUGAGUGAGCGAAAGCCAGGGGAGCAAACGGG
rnacentral:rRNA from 1 species